UACAGAGGUGGCAAGCGUUGUUCGGAAUUACUGGGCGUAAAGGGCGCGUAGGCGGCCUUUUAAGUCAGACGUGAAAUCCCCCGGCUUAACCUGGGAACUGCGUCUGAUACUGGGAGGCUUGAGUAUGGGAGAGGGAUGUAGAAUUCCAGGUGUAGCGGUGAAAUGCGUAGAUAUCUGGAGGAAUACCGGUGGCGAAGGCGGCAUCCUGGACCAUUACUGACGCUGAGGCGCGAAAGCUAGGGGAGCAAACGGG
rnacentral:rRNA from 1 species